AUUGAACGCUGGCGGCAGGCUUAACACAUGCAAGUCGAACGCGUGGCGUACGUGUGUGUAAUGCUUGGGACUCUAGCUUAUGGAUGGGGUUAACUCCGGGAAACUGUAGCUAAUACCGCGUACCAUAGGAUUAGCCCAAGAGGGAUGAGCGAGUUGGUGAGGUAAAGGCGUACCAAGCCGACGAUCUCUAGCUGGUCUGAGAGGAUGACCAGCCACACUGGGACUGAGACACGGCCCAGACUCCUACGGGAGGCAGCAGUGGGGAAUAUUGCGCAAUGGGGGCAACCUGACGCAGCCAUGCCGCGUGAAUGAAGAAGGCCUUCGGGUUGUAAAGUUCUUUCGGUAGCGAAGCGUUACCUACAGAAGAAGCACCGGCUAACUCCGUGCCAGCCGCCGCGGUAAUUC
rnacentral:rRNA from 1 species